rnacentral:rRNA from 1 species
CCUACGGGGGGCAGCAGUAGGGAAUCUUCCACAAUGGGCGAAAGCCUGAUGGAGCAACGCCGCGUGGGUGAAGAAGGUCUUCGGAUCGUAAAACCCUGUUGUUAGAGAAGAAAGUGCGUGAGAGUAACUGUUCACGUUUCGACGGUAUCUAACCAGAAAGCCACGGCUAACUACGUGCCAGCAGCCGCGGUAAUACGUAGGUGGCAAGCGGUAUCCGGAUUGAUUGGGCGUAAAGGAAACGCAGGCGGUCUUUUAAGUCUGAUGUGAAAGCCUUCGGCUUAACCGGAGUAGUGCAUUGGAGACUGGGAGACUUGAGUGCAGAAGAGGAGAGUGGGACUCCAUGUGUAGCGGUGAGAUACGUAGAUAUAUGGAAGAGAACCAGGGGCGAAAGCGGCUCUCUGGUCUGUAACUGACGCUGAGGUUCGAGAGCGUGUGUAGAAAGCAGAAUUAGAUACACCUGUAGUC